UGGGGAAUAUUGCACAAUGGGGGAAACCCUGAUGCAGCGACGCCGCGUGAACGAAGAAGGUAUUCGUAUCGUAAAGUUCUGUCCUAUGGGAAGAUAAUGACAGUACCAUAGAAGAAAGCUCCGGCUAAAUACGUGCCAGCAGCCGCGGUAAUACGUAUGGAGCGAGCGUUGUCCGGAUUUAUUGGGCGUAAAGCGAGCGCAGGCGGUCAAUUAAGUCUGAUGUGAAAGCCCCCGGCUCAACCGGGGAGGGUCAUUGGAAACUGGUUGACUUGAGUGCAGAAGAGGAGAGUGGAAUUCCAUGUGUAGCGGUGAAAUGCGUAGAUAUAUGGAGGAACACCAGUGGCGAAGGCGACUCUCUGGUCUGUAACUGACGCUGAGGCUCGAAAGCGUGGGUAGCAAACAGG
rnacentral:rRNA from 1 species